rnacentral:rRNA from 1 species
UACGGGGGGAGCAAGCGUUGUUCGGAUUUACUGGGCGUAAAGGGCGCGUAGGCGGUCGUGACAAGUCACUUGUGAAAUCUCCGGGCUUAACUCGGAACGGUCAAGUGAUACUGUCGGACUAGAGUACAGAAGGGGCAACUGGAAUUCUCGGGUGUAGCGGUGAAAUGCGUAGAUAUCAGGAGGAACACCGGUGGCGAAGGCGGUUCUCUGGGCAUGAUCUGACGCUGAGGAGCGAAAAGUGUGGGGGAGCGAAACAGG